rnacentral:tRNA from 3 species
GGGCCUAUAGCUCAGUUGGUAGAGCCCCCGGCUCAUAACCGGUAGGUCACAGGUUCGAAUCCUGUUGGGCCCACCA